AACAACUGCUUCUUUCUACCAUCUGCACCCCUACCUAAUACACAUGAUGCCUCUAUGAACCCUAUAGUUUGCUCAAUAUGAUAUCUAUUUGAAAUUUGAAAUUUGAAAUUGUUCAAUUCAAGAUGGAGCCUGAAUCAGAUAGAUUGGGGGGUUUCAUCUAACAUUAAAGAUUUGUUUGAAAAGAAGUAAGCUAUUCAAUUGCAACUCUCAACCCAGUUUAAUUUGUCUUUUUCCUCUACCUUCUCUUAACCAUUUGUUUUCAUCUCAUUUUUCGUUGAUUAAAUCUUAUUUUUGGAGGGAUGGCUGGCCGGAUUUCGUGAAGGAUAUGGAGAUUGGAGAUGGAGCCUGCAUAAGAGAGAUUGGUGGUUUCAUCUAACGGGUGAGGCAGCAGGGUUUGUAGGCAAGAGUACUAAAGUUAUUAUAUAAUGAAUCUGAAUCUAUGACCGUGUUAGAGGAGGCUACACUACCUGAAAGGUUGUAUUCAUUCGGAAAGUAUUUGUUCCUCCUUAUCCUCAUAUGAUUCCUGCUUCUUUUGAAUUGAAAUAGAAGGAUAUAGCUAGAUAAUGGUAUUGAUGAGUUGAUGGCUGGUGAUAUGAAAAGUGGUUCUCUGUUAUUUUAUCCAUUUUUUAUACUAUAUUUUUGUUCACAUGUUCUCCUUUCCUUUUGUCUACAACUCAUUUAAGUUUGAACUUAUUUCAGGUGAUGUAGAGAUUGGCCAAAGAGGAGUAGAUGAUACAUGCUUUGGGUAAGUGACAAGUUUUAUUAAAUAAAAUUACCAUAUAGUUAGUUUAAGAUUAUGAUAUCUGAGUCAUGGUGCAAGGUUCUUCUACAUUGUCUUUGAAUUGAAAAAAAAAACGUAAUGAAGCACCUAACUAAAGGGACUUUCUUUUGAAAUUUGGCAAGAUGGGAUAGUGCAUAAUAAUUGGUGGAAGUUAUGUAGAGAAGCAAGAGGAUUGAAUGAUUAUGGUUCUUGAUUCAGUAACAAGAACUUUGCUAAGUUUAGUAUAUACAUAUAUACUUUGUUUGUUCUGCACUCUGAGUAUUAAUUUUGCUCAAGAUUUCUUCCAGGCAACUUGCUUGCUUUCAAACUUGCUAACAAGAACUUUUUACUUCAUUUCUUAGCCUUUCCAGAUUAUUUUCUUUUAUGGAAGAGCCACUUGAAAUACUCACAAGGGAAGAUGUGACAGAAAUGUGUACAAGUUAGCCUUCUAGAGAAUAUGGUUGCCAUGAUCUUGGAAAUGAUGGAGGCAGCCCAGUGCUGCUUUAUGUUUAUCAUUAUGCAUUGAAGUUGUAAAAGCUGCAGAUGCUGCAUAGGUUAAUGAUAUUAGGAGUCUGGGCUCAUCCCAUCAAAGAUGAUGUUUAGAUUAGCUAUGAAUUUGUAUGAAGAGCUGCAGGGAGCAGUCCUAAGUUGUUGAAGACUAUCAUGAAAGAAAAUUUGGCCUUCGAUUUUCUAUAGUGAGCUUAGCUUUUUUAUUAAAUUAACUUUUGUAAUUUAAGCAAUGUAUUGCUCAAUUUUCAGACAUGGAUAAGGGUAUAUCAGUAUGUAGCUUCCAGACAUAGAUAUCUCUUCCUCAUGGUAGAGGGUAGUCAACAAUCUAUCAUUGCUGCCCAAUAAGCUAUCUGCUGCUCGA
rnacentral:lncRNA from 1 species